rnacentral:rRNA from 1 species
GACGAACGCUGGCGGCGUGCCUAAUACAUGCAAGUCGAGCGAAGUUUUUCUGGUGCUUGCACUAGAAAAACUUAGCGGCGAACGGGUGAGUAACACGUAAAGAACCUGCCUCAUAGACUGGGACAACUAUUGGAAACGAUAGCUAAUACCGGAUAACAGUAUUUCUCGCAUGAGAGAUAUUUAAAAGUUGGUUAUGCUAACACUAUGAGAUGGCUUUGCGGUGCAUUAGCUAGUUGGUGGGGUAAAGGCCCACCAAGGCGACGAUGCAUAGCCGACCUGAGAGGGGGAUAGGCCACACUGGGACUGAGACACGGCCCAGACUCCUACGGGAGGCAGCAGUAGGGAAUCUUCCGCAAUGGGCGAAAGCCUGACGGAGCAACGCCGCGUGAGUGAAGAAGGAUUUCGGUUCGUAAAGCUCUGUUGUUAGGGAAGAAUGGAUAUGUAGUAACUAUACAUGUAAGAGACGGUACCUAACCAGAAAGCCACGGCUAACUACGUG